UUCCCCUCCCAGUCUCCAACACCCACGCCCGCAGCACCUGAAAGCCUAGUCGCCGCGAGCUCCAGCGCCGCCGCCUCUUCUCCGCCGUCAAGCGCCGCCUCCGGUGAGCUCCGGUCGCCGUGGACCGCUAAAACGUGUUCGGCGCGUCCUUCUCUUUCUUCUGGUGAAAUCCCCGCGCCAAACCGAGCCCGGAGUGCCGUUUCGGCCUACUCCGGCGAUUCCGCCGCCGCUCGCCGCCGCCACGAUGUCGUCGACGACUGCGACCGUCGGAUCUAGAUCCGACGGCUCGUAGCGGGUCAAUCCGACCGCGUAACGGUCAACCGCGCCACGCCGCACCUCUUUUGCUCUUAAGCUCCUGCCUUUUCCGCAAAUCAACCAGCGGUCCAGAUCACGUUGAAAAAUAAUUCCAGAUCUGCCCUCGCGCUUUUCGGUUUAACCCUUGAUCUUUCUAAAAAUCAACCCGCCGUCCGUUUUGGAGUAUCUGCAAGAGCACCCGUCCCCCGCGUCAUGGCAUCGCAUCGUAUCAUCCCAUGGAGCCUAGGGAUGAGGAGGAAGAGGAAGACUACUACUUCCAGCACCCGGGGGAUGACACUGACGAGGACGCCGUGCCCGUGGAGCAGGAGACAUCACCGUCACCAGCACCGGCACCAGCACCUGCACCAGCCCCGGCGCCCGUACCGGUCGUCGACUUAUCGGACGAAGAGCCCGAACCAGAUUUCGAGCCCGAGAGAUGGAUCAAGUGGGUGAAGGAAGACUAUGGCCAAGAAGUGCACAUGGCCGACAUACUCCGGUGGACUUGUCAUCACUUGGGGUACAGCAUGAGGCCUAUCUACAAGUGUGCUCGGUUCACCCACCCUCGCUACCCCACUUUUUGGGAGGUGAAGGUUAUCCUUCGUGAGGAGCAUGAAAGAGGAUGGGAGGUGAUGGCUGUUCACCAUGAUGUGGCGAUGAGGAGGACCAUGGAGUCCGGCAUUGCCGAGGCAGCUAGGAGGGCACUUGAGGUCCUCUCUCACAAGGAAUGGCCACGGCUACAGUACACAUAUCAUCGGUUCCUUCCAUCCAGAGCUAGUGGAGAAGCAAGAACCUUCAUAGCUACUCAUGAUGGAGUUGACAUGGCCACGGAUUUUCUUCGCAAGUACUUGUCGGCAACUCUCACCGCUUUGAAUGAAACAAACAACCACCUCUUUGAGAUUCAACGGGAGCUUCAUGAAGUUAGGUGGGAGAGAGAUGUGCUAGUAGCUUCCCCUCCCAGUCUCCAACACCCACGCCCGCAGCACCUGAAAGCCUAGUCGCCGCGAGCUCCAGCGCCACCGCCUCUUCUCCGCCGUCAAGCGCCGCCUCCGGUGAGCUCCGGUCGCCGUGGACCGCUAAAACGUGUUCGCCGCGUCCUCCUCUUUCUUCUGGUGAAAUCCCCGCACCAAACUGAGCCCGGAGUGCCAUUUCGGCCUACUCCGGCGAUUCCGCCGCUGCUCGCCGCCGCCGCGAUUUCGUCGACGACUGCGACCGUCGGAUCUAGAUCUAACUGCUCGUAGCGGGUCAAUCCGACCGCGUAACGGUCAACCGUGCCACGCCGCACCUCUUUGGCUCUUAAGCUCCUGCCUUUUCCGCAAAUCAACCCGCGGUCCAGAUCGCGUUGAAA
rnacentral:lncRNA from 1 species